UAGUGGCGGACGGGUGAGUAACGCGUGGAUAACCUGCCUGAUAGCCUGGGAUAACGCCGGGAAACUGGUGCUAAUACCGGAUACGCUCCUUGGGAUGCAUAUUCUGGGGAGGAAAGGAGAAAUCCGCUGACAGAUGGGUCCGCGUCCCAUUAGCUAGUUGGAGGGGUAACGGCCCACCAAGGCGACGAUGGGUAGCCGGCCUGAGAGGGCGACCGGCCACACUGGAACUGAGACACGGUCCAGACUCCUACGGGAGGCAGCAGUGGGGAAUCUUCCGCAAUGGGCGCAAGCCUGACGGAGCAACGCCGCGUUAUAAUGAAGGUU
rnacentral:rRNA from 1 species